rnacentral:rRNA from 1 species
UACGGAGGGUGCAAGCGUUAUCCGGAUUCACUGGGUUUAAAGGGUGCGUAGGUGGGCAGGUAAGUCAGUGGUGAAAUCUCCGAGCUUAACUCGGAAACUGCCGUUGAUACUAUUUGUCUUGAAUAUUGUGGAGGUAAGCGGAGUAUGUCAUGUAGCGGUGAAAUGCUUAGAUAUGACAUAGAACACCAAUUGCGAAGGCAGCUUACUACACAACGAUUGACGCUGAGGCACGAAAGCGUGGGGAUCAAACAGG